GUUGCUUUAGUUCAAUGGUAGAACAUAUCAUUGUGGAUGAUAUUGUCACAGUUCGAUUCUGUGAAGUGAUC